GUUCUUUUCAGUUAGGUCUGUUAUCAACUGCAGAGGAUGAGUAGCCUUGGGAGCCUCUUGGGGAGAUGGAAGUGAUGAAAGGACUGAAUCCAUGAGGGAGAGCUACUUGCUCUGAGAUGGGGGGACCUUCGGGCAAAGGCCAGCAGAGAAGGGAUGCUGUUGGCUGCUGGUUUCUGUUGCUCCCCACUUUCCCAAAGGGCGUAACAUCAGAGGUCCUGCGGGAGGAAAGAUGCCUCAGAGUCAGGGGCCUUUCUGGGCCAAAGCGGCCCCCACUGCCCCCACCACGGAGUCCCUGGCACUCCUGGGCCAUGAGGGUUGCAGAUUUUGGUCUUGGACCAAAUUGGGGGCCAAACUGUCAGUAUUUCAUUCUCUCAUUGCUAGUGUAACAUGAUGUCCAUGUUUACACCUUCUGUACUGUCUGUGUAAGAAUGGAAGUCAGUUUGUAAAUCGCUUUCAUCCUUUGUUUUCUUUUACUCUGACCGAGGAGGAGAUGGCUGUGGAAGACAGCUCACACCAUGUUUCUUUGUUAUUUUCGGCUGUAAAUAAAGCUUGAUGUCACAUUUUAACACAGUUUGCAGCACAUCUGCAAAGAGAAGGACAUGGG